CGAAAGGCUCAGAGCUGCCAGGCAUAACAGGGCGCACUCACCUACUGAGUGUACAGCUCCAGAGACACUGAGGAGUUUAUGGAAAAUGACAGCAUCCCACUACACCACAGAAAACAUACCCAAUCCAUUCUACUGAAACAGUCUAAAAGAAAAAAAAUCAACAUAAGUACUGUAGUGUAUAUAAACAACAUAAUAAAGUACAUAUAUAAUUAUUUUAGCCAGAACAUGAUGAAAUUAUUAGACGAUGUAUAAAUGUCUAUAAAUAUACAACUUUAUAUAUAUAUAUAUGUGUGUGUGUGUGUGUGUGUGUGUAUAUAUAGGCUGGUGCUACCAUGGUAAGCCAUUGACUUCUUUUGCCAACAUAAUUCUAGUAUGGAAAUUCCAGUUUUCUAUAAACUUCAAAAAGUAUUCAAACCAUCAAACUGCUCAGAUGAGGUCAUUAGGUUCCUCCAAUGGGCUUUGGGGACAUAUGACAACUGUUUCCAUUUUACGGAAGAAAAAAUAGAAGCAAAGAGUAAAAUGAAAGACUUUGGGUAACAAAAUCCUUGUAUAAAAUCCCAGACUAUUUCCAAUCUGGUAAAUAGUACACAAUUACUGAACUGAUGAGUCCUUUAGCUGAGAGAAUCCUGCUACUACAAUAGCAUUUCCGGGGGUGUAUGUAGAACUUGAGGUAAAAUAACCCCAAAUUGGGCUUCAUAAUAUUUACCAUAAACUAAUAACUGUGUGCUGAGAUUAGGUGGAAGGAAUUUAAUAAAAGCAAAUCACUGAAUUCUUGCUAAAGGCCAGUGUACACAUUUCACUUUUUAAGCUGUUAACUUUCUCAUAGUCUAAGAUACCGUGUAACCAAGAAAUGGGACAAAAUAAAUUUGUCUGCAGUUAAGAGUGGCACACCCAUGUAUGUGUGCCGAUGCAAUAGUGGGGGCUGUGACUAGAAACAAUCACUCAUAUAACAACCCAUCUCAAAAGCUUUUUUACAGUCUGCUGUCAUUUCCCUACUUUCCCACUGCCUCAGUAAAUGCAAGCCUCACCCAUAUCAUUCAGCCAUGGCGCACCUCCUGUAAGCGCUCUGAAUUUCAAUUUCAUCCUGAUGUACUUCAUGGGACUGUCUUUGCUUCUCUUUUUUUACUUCCACCUUUCCCCAUUAUUCUCUAGCAACAUGAUACAAACUUUUAUUCCACAGCAAAACCUUAUUCUCUGUAAGCGAGUUGGCCUUUAUUCUCUGUACCUUCCCUACAUCCUUAAGCUCUUCCAGUCAGUUGCUGGUACCUUCUUUUUCAGGGUAGCUCACCUCCUUAUUAGUGAUGGGUCUGAGCUGUGCCUUCACUCCCUCAAAGCCCAGUGGGCACUACUCACUUCCUAUUUCCAAAGCUGAAGCACUAUUUAUUAUGAGUGUGAGCUCAGGGCACAGUGAGUCUCAAGGUACCAAGCACUGAGAUGCCUCUUUAGGAGGCAGGGCACCUCCGGAGCAAGGCCAUGUGGAUUUUCAGGUGCACCUGUUUUGAUUUGUCUAGAUCACAUGUUUAAUUUAUUCUGUGACUUCAAAAGAGGAUACAGGUUAAAGGAAACUAAGAAAAGUCUGCCCUAGAAUAAGUUCCAUCAAAGUCUGACACAAAAUAUAUUCUUUGUUACUACAGCUAACUGUGGAUCUUAAUUCAUGGGGUUAAAUUUACCAAUGUAUCUUUAAUUGGAAUUCUGUAGAAUUAUUCACCAAGCUGUACCUAUAUGUGUGCUAAGUCCUUUCUAAUUUCCAUAAAUGAAUUUAACAAUGAAAUGUAUUUAUUUUUGAUACUUCCCAAACAUGUAUAAUAUAGACUUGCUUCAUUACAGAAUUAUCUGAAAAUAAAUGGCCUUGAGAAAUUUAAAACACUAUCUGAAAUGAGCCAAAGUAACUUUUGUAAACUCUAACAAAGCAAAACUACCAUCGAAUUUAAAUUAAUUGUAUUUGAUUUUUGGACAUAUGGCAGCUGCAAGUAUAGAGAAAAUCUGCAAUAAUUUCAUUUCUAAGGAUACUGAUGAAAGGGGGAAAAACUUAUCUCAUUAAAGGUGUAUUUAAGGCAAAACAGAUUUUAUUUUUUAAGAUUUUUUUAUUUUUUUGAGACAAGAGUCUUGCUUUGUCUCCCAGGCUGGAUGCAGCCUCCACCUCCCGGGUUCAAGCAAUUCUCCUGUCUCAGCCUCCGGAGUAGCUGGGAUUACAGGCAUGUGCCACCAUGCCCGGCUAAUUUUUAUAUUUUUAGCAGAGACAGGGUUUCACCAUGUUGGCCAAGCUGGUCUCCAACUCCUGAUCUCAGGUGAUCCGCCCAUCUUGGCCUCCCAAAGUGUUGGGAUUACAGGCGUGAGCCACUGUGCCUGGCCCAAAACAAAUUUUAGAAAAGCAGACUAUUUCAAAAUAUGAUAGAGAUUAAUAAAAAUGGAUAAAUUUGGUAAAUGAAUGCGAUUUUAUAAGAUGAAGGAUGUGAAGGAUGGCAAGCUUAAAGAUUAAAAAGUGACACCAUAAAAAUUAACUCUAUCUUUAUUUGAUAAGAUAAAGAUACAAAACUAUAUCUAACUAUAAAAAUGAGGCUGUUAUGUGAAGAUUUUUUGGAAGUUUUAUUCUUACACUUUCACAACUUUUACAUUUAAAUGUUUUACAUAGACAUUAUAAAAUCAAGAUUUGACUUUUAAAAUUUGAGUUAAAAAAUACCCAAAUUUUAAGUUUCUCCAAAGUAAGAUAUAAAAAGAAAUAAAAUUUUUAUGAGAAUAACAGAGUCUGAUACUGAUAAUCAAACAUAUAUUAGAUAAAUAAUGCAAUCAGCAACAUAUUUAUACCAUCUCAUCUUCAGAAUAGUCAGGGUUCGGAUUAGAACUGAACUCUUACAUUGAUUAAAAAUUAAAAUUUCUAGGAAUGUUUUCUCCUAACCUUUAUUAAGAAGCUUAAAAACAUUGGUAUUAAUGCUUUUAAAAUAUUUCUGACAUUCAGGUUAUUAAGCUUUUUCCUUGCUAUAUUACCACUAACAGGGAUAUACUUUAACAUACUUGCAGUCACAUUUUAAAUAUAAAAUGAGUGACUAUUUCCAACAAACAUCCACAUUUAUUGCAGAUAUGCAGGCUUCUAAGAGUGCUAAGUGAGCUAUAAGCUUACUCCAGACAACCUAACUCCUGAAGGACCUUUCUAAAUGCACAGUUCACAUUACCAAUGCGUAAAAAACUACCUAAAAUUCUUCAUCUCAAGAAUGCAAACCAGAAAGGCUGGGGUUCCACAUUCAGCUAACGCUUAUGUUAAAAUGAAGUGAAGAAAAGGAUAAUUUGUUAAAAAUCUGGUUUUGGUAACUAAACUACUUUUCACAUGUCCUCAGGCGCUAUUUGACAUUUGAAAGAGAUUGUUCUUUUCAAACUUCUUGAAAACACUUCCUUUAAUUUCAACAAACUGAAAUAGUAAACAGAAAUACCAUCUUUAUGAUUAUAACAGUUUAAAAACUGGACUUGCUACUUAUAAAACUUCCGGGAGAACAACAUAUAGAACAAAGAAUUUUAUCCCACCCAGAGUAUUGCAGCUGAAAUGCCUGUAUAACUUCAAAAAUGUAAGAUAAAUCUCAUACUUACAUUAUUAGACAUCAUGAUAGUAAGCAAAGACUUG
rnacentral:lncRNA from 1 species